CUCCACUUCAUCUCCCAAAGCCGUGCCUCAAGCGCUUCAUCUCUUUCUCCACCCACGCACACCUACAUGCACACAAACAAGAGGAAGAGGAAACCUACAGGCGAAACAUUCCCUGGUCUAAAUUGUUUAGUUCUUCACCGUUUCCAAAUUUCAGCUCCAUGGACGCCGGUGCUCUAUCCCGAUGAUUUAGGCGAUCCAUGUUCGAGUCCUUGCGCCAAAAUAUUCUGCUCCAUGCCGCAGCUCCAUUCAAAGAAGAAACAACGUGUUCCGUCGAGCAUACGCGGAGAAUUUUGCAAGGAGUGACGAUAUCGAUGUUGGACAUGGACAGAACAGGUUACUAAAGAAGGACUCAACAAGGAAGGCAUGCCUCCUUUUUUGAUCAUACUUAUCCUAUGUUUACAAAAUUGCAUUGUGUUUUAUGGUUAUUAUAUGCCUGCUAUUUUAAUUCUUGUAGCUAGCAUGUCGAUUGACACAUUACCUUGAUCCACUAGUCGACUAUUCAUUUGACACCUAAGUAGAAUUAUAGUAUUCUUGUAGAGUAGAAAUGCUUAGCCAUGCUUAUUACCCUAUAGGUGCUUUGUUGAAUGACAUCUGAGUCAUUGACAGUUGAAACUUACCGCUGAGCUAGGCCAGAUGGCCUUAUUGAUAUCCUCUACUCUCUUCUACUCUGGGUGAAACUUACCAUCCGAAUACUGGCGCGGGCGACAGCUGAAUCAAGGAUUGAAGGAGCGAUUGGCUGCCCUUCACAGGUUGAAGGGGGCAAUCAGUCGUCCGUGCCGCUUAAGGUCUAAUAAGUCUUGGAUUUGAAGAUUGUGAUAACAGUACAGCCACAUGCUAUAUGGGCACUGGCUUGGUCAUGUAAGCUAGUCAGCCUUAGGUGUCGAUGUCGCUGUACCGCAGAUGGGAUAGCUGCCUUGCAAGGAGUAUCCUCGGCACAGAUGGGGGGACCGGUUUGAGGACAUACUCUCAGUUCCGUGCGCCAGACCCGGUGGGCAUGUCACAUCUUUGAGGGAUCUAGUCCAAAGACCUCGUCACAAUCCCCCUGCCGGUACACCAAAUGGAGUACUAUACCAGCGGCCACUGGUGGCAACAAGUCGAGAUUGUGUCGUGUGGGUAAAGUGUACGACCUCUGUAGAGUGUAAAAUAUUCGAAUAGUCGUGUCCAUGGUCAAGGGCUACACAUGAAUCUUUCUUGACGUACAGGACCUGUCUUGCUUAUUCCCUCUUUGCCCCUAUUCUUGGAACCUAUGAAGAGUGUGAGUUGAUCGAGGAUCCUCACUUGAUGAAAGUUAUUCUCGAGAUAAAACAUGUUUUCAUCUAAAACUACUUUUAUCCAACUGCUUUAUUUGUCAAAAAAAUAGCUUUAUGCAAAUGAGCCAUAUAGCCUUCCUUUGAAGCCACAUGUAGCUAUUAGGUCCUUCCCCGUGGGAGGCAUGUUGAGUACGUAAUGUACUCAUGGCAAUAAUUUUG